rnacentral:lncRNA from 1 species
AAGAAUUUGGAUUCUUUCCUCCAGGUUACAAUGCUCGUUAAGGGGCGGCCUGUAAUGAAAUCUGCGCCAUGUGCUAAAACCAACUAAGUGAUUAUUUUAAAAGUCACAGUCUGCGUGGGGCUUCAUAAAUUCACACGAGGGAGAGCUGUCUAAUGGGAUUGCCACCUUCCACCCCCAACGCAGACUUCAGCUCCUUCCUAGGUCUCCACUCAAAGGCUUAUCCCAUGGCCCGAGCAGGGAAGGCCUUUUUGUGUGAAAACACCUGGCCACCCAGCUUCAGGAGCACUGAGCGCUUUCGGCAUGGCCGUCCCCACUGGCCCACGCGGCAUUUCUUACAAUAUAUCGUCAUUUCAGAUGCUCAUUUCAGCCAUGAUCAUUUAUUCCAGAAGCACUUGUUAGGACGUUAUACUUAUUUCCUUUAAGUAUAAGGUCCUGUGUUGACUACUGAGAAUGAAAAACUGAACAAGACAGAAAGUCCCACCUUGAAGAGCUUCCAAGUGUAGCGAGUCUCCUGGCAUCAGGUAUGGCUGGUAUCAUGGAAACACUCGGCUGACUGUCCAGGAGAUGCUGGUUAAGAGGCGGAAGGUGAUGGCGUGAAAUCAAGUUCAGGUGCAGGGGACACUCCUGAGAGCAUUCCUGCCCUGUCCCCGUGGCCUGAGCGGCCUUCUCAGUUGCACAGAGAUGCAGCAGUAAACCCCCAUCUUUAUUUCAACGUGUGGAGCAGGUGGUCCACGUCACUGGAAUGCAGAACGGAAGGACUCUGAUCUCCCACCUUGCCUUCUGAUUGUGAGUCAUAAGACCCUCGCCAGAGGUGGCCCUGCCCUACACCCGAGGGGAAGGAAUGCUGGCAUCAUGAAGCUUCCAUAAAAAUUCAAGAGGAUUGAUUCUGGGAGCUUCUAGAGAGCUGGCCACAUGGAGGUUCCUGGAGGGUGUUGCACCAGGGAGGGUAUGGAAACUCUGUGCCCCUUUCACCACACCUUACCCUACACGCCUCUUCAUCUGGAUCCUUUGCAAUAUCCUUCAUGAUACAUUGACAAACGUAAGUGUUUUUCUGAGUUCUGUGAACUACUCCAGCAAGUUAAUUGAACCCAAAGAGGGGAUCUUGGGAACCCCAAAUAGAAGUCAGUCAAUCAGAAGUUCUGGAUGCCUGGAUUUGUGAAUAGUAUGUGGUAACGGGGGCAGUCUUGGGGACUGAACCCUCUAUCUGUACAAUCUGACAUUAUCCCCAGGUAUUUAAUUUCAGAAUUGAAUUGAAGGACAUCCAGCUAGGCCAGCUGCAGAACUAAUUACUUGCCUGGUGGUGGAGUGAACCCCCCCCCCACAUUUAUACACGGAAAUCUUGGAUGUUUAUGAAUCUUGUUGUGGUGGUGUGAGAGCAGAGGAAAAACACUGUUUGACAGGUUUUCUGAAACGGCAACAUAAUAUAAUUGUGGAUAAAAUUUAAUAUUUAUGCAUACGAAAUGAAGCUUGCAGAUUAAAAAUUAAAUUUUCUUUUUUGUCUCUCUCUCUCUCUCUCUUCCUCUCUGUCAUUU